GUUUCAAGCUUCUCUGCCUCUUCUCUGUUAAUUAUUUUUCGAUGAAUGAAAGUUAAUAAAUUUUGUACUGAAACAUGGGUCCUUUAAAUUGGAGAAUAGAAGUGAUGAAUGGGAAAUAGAUGCCAAAAGCAUCCAGAAACGGUAGAUGAAGUGCAUGCUGAUAAGAGGGAGUACAUUUCAUUAAAUUUUAGACCAAUUUCAAGGAACUAAUAAGUUCAAACCCACAUGAAUUCAACACCAGAGACUCAUAAGUAAAGUUUGUAAAGUUUGAUACUAAUAAGUUCACUCUCCACCAUGAUUUCAGACUUGUUACUACUGCUUCUUGUAAAGUUUGUAAAGCAUGAGAGCAACCCAGGUAUUAUGUUGUAUAAUAAUGGUAAAAUUUUGGUUUGAUAUUUCAAAUGUGAAUGAAGAAGUCUUACAUUGUAAAAGUGAAUGAGUUAAAGAUCAUAUAAGUGGAUGAACUUAUAGACCUAAUGCCUUAAGAUUUUGGGUAUCGUGCCAAUUUAACUUAUAUGUCAAGAUGUCCAACAGAGCAGAGCGGUCAAAACCAACUCAUGGUAUAUUGUUUCUUCUUAAAAGCUUAG